rnacentral:rRNA from 1 species
GACAGAGGGGUAAGCGUUGCUCGGAAUUACUGGGCGUAAAGGGCGCGUAGGCGGGAUGGCAAGUCGGUCGUGAAAUCCCUCGGCUCAACUGAGGAUCGUCGAUCGAUACUGCCGUUCUUGAGGAUUGCAGAGGAGACUGGAAUUCCCGGUGUAGCGGUGAAAUGUGUAGAGAUCGGGAGGAACACCGGUGGCGAAGGCGGGUCUCUGGGCAAUUCCUGACGCUGAGGCGCGAAAGCGUGGGGAGCAAACGGG